GAAGCCUUCAUCCGAGUUAUCAACCCUGCGCGAGUCACACUGACAGAAAGGAGAAGCAUGCAAGCCUCUACAGAGUCUGAGAAGAGCCUUCUUACGCACAAGUUUACGCUAAUUCUGUGACUGACAACUCUGAAAAUGUUGAAGAGGCUCCGAGGAGACGCCUCUGGUCCUCUGGAAAAACUUGACGAGGAAAACGACGAAGUUGAUGAAGCCUCUGAUCUGUCCGAGUGGGUGAGCUGCUGGACCUGUGCCUAUCCAAGCUGAGGGAACUGAGCAAUGUGAAGCUGACAGACGCCAUGCAGCAGCUUCAUGUGGACCGAGCAUUCAAAGCGGCGCAAGCUGACUGUGCAGGCCGUGGCGUUGACGGCAACCUCUUCCUGCAGCAGGUCUUCGUCGUUGAGUUCACGUUUGCCAGCCAAAUGUGUGACCGAGGCCAAGGAUUACAGGCCAAUGAAAGAACCUAUUAUUCAUGCGUGGAGUGGAGAUUUUUGCCUUCUGAAAAAGCUUGUGGGCAUCAGUCAACUGUGUAUGGUGGCCUUUCGACGCGAUUGCAAAUCCAAAGCAGCUUGAGCCUUACACGGUGAUUGGAUGCAAACCCAUCCUCUUACAGUCUCAGGCUCUCCCUGAUUCCCUGGCUAUAGGGACAAAUAAGCAACAACGACAACUUGAUCCGCUCAAAGUCUCAUCUAAGCAAAUUUUGAACCCUGGUGACACAGUUCUGGAUACUUUUACAAGGACUGUGGAGACAGAUGAACACUGCCCGUGAGCACCAGCGUUUGACAUUUACACGACGACUUCAAAUCAACCAACAUGGAUUAUGUUGAACUCUUGGAUGACCUAGAGAGUGACCCGCAGUACAGGUAGAACUUCAAGGAAAGACGUUCUUCCACCUGUGGAGGCAGGCGAGGAUGAAGAUGAAGACACAGAAAUGGCAGAUUUUUGAGCCGAUUGUCAAGCCCAAUUGCAAGGGCUGUUGGACUUGACUGUUGCUGGGGCACCAGGGAGGAGGUGGUCGCCAGAUAUGUAGACAUUCGCGUCAAUUUUUGUCCAAUAAUCACUUUUGGCACAUCUACCUCACUCAUCCUCGACUUUAAGGGCCAAAGCCGACUCCAGAAAUACCACAACCACCUGAAGAUGGCUAGCCAACGAUGGAAGUGCUGUAAAUUACCAACAACCACAUUGACCUGACUUACACUCCAGGCAACAAUUCCCUCCGCAGGGCCUGCAAUACAUUCCUCGGCCGCCGCUGGUUGCUGGGGGUGAUUACCACGACUGUGACAUUCCCGAUCACGCCUUGCGCAAAACCUUCUCACCCAGAACCACUGUCGCUUGUCUACGUCAUGUUCACGGCAACCGUGGGAGAGAAACGCUGAGCUCGACCCCGACCACUUCACCCUGGUGAUGAACAUGCUGAGACAUGGUCGUUUCCCCAACGUGCCCGUCCUGCCUAUUUUCUGCAACCACGAGUUGGUGGCUGGAUGGUCUACGACAACAUCAACCCUGCAGGCCAGUGGGCGUGGCUCUCAGGAGCCCUUGCUGUCUGAGAAAGCGGGGCAAUGGCACACCCCUGCAACAUUUGCCACAAAGAGAGAGAGAGUACAUGAGGAUUAUUGACAGAAUACGAGGUGAAGGCGCAGUUCCACGCUCACACUCUCAAUGACCACUUCAGCAUCUACUAUGACCUGGAUGAGCCAUCAAGGGCCAACAGCAGCUUAGAGUCUCCGCCGUGACUGAUGGCUGGCCACGCGUAACCUAAAAUUAUCCUGCUGGCUGCGUGCAUGUCUCGAACAUCAAAGGCAUCACUGCUGUUAAUAUUUCAAAUUUAAUCGUUAAUUUAACCUAAUUUAUUUGAGAAAUGCAAAUUUUAACUUCUAUUUGUGCAACUGUACGUUAUGCCCCAAAUAAACUAUUUAUCCAUGAACUUAUUACA